rnacentral:rRNA from 1 species
UACAGGGGGUGCAAACGUUGCUCGGAAUCAUUGGGCGUAAAGCGCACGUAGGCGGUUCGUUAUGUCGGAUGUGAAAGCCCUUGGCUUAACCGAGGAAGUGCAUCCGAAACUGGCGAGCUAGAGUACGAAAGAGGAUCGCGGAAUUCCCGGUGUAGAGAUGAAAUUCGUAGAUAUCGGGAGGAACACCGGUGGCGAAGGCGGCGAUCUGGGUCGAUACUGACGCUGAGGUGCGAAAGCGUGGGGAGCAAACAGG